GGCGCUAUAGUGUAGUGGUUAUCACUCGGGAUUUUGACUUGAUCUGGAAUUCCCGAAACCCAGGUUCGAACCCUGGUAGCGCCU
rnacentral:tRNA from 1 species